rnacentral:rRNA from 1 species
GACGAACGCUGGCGGCGUGCUUAACACAUGCAAGUCGAGCGGUAAGGCCCUUUCGGGGGUACACGAGCGGCGAACGGGUGAGUAACACGUGGGUGACCUGCCCUUAGCUCUGGGAUAAGCCUGGGAAACUGGGUCUAAUACCGGAUAUGACUCCAUGACGCAUGUUGUGGGGUGGAAAGCCUUGUGCGGCUAGGGAUGGGCCUGCGGCCUAUCAGCUUGUUGGUGGGGUGAUGGCCUACCAAGGCGACGACGGGUAGCCGGCCUGAGAGGGCGACCAGCCACACUGGGACUGAGACACGGCCCAGACUCCUACGGGAGGCAGCAGUGGGGAAUCUUGCGCAAUGGGCGAAAGCCUGACGCAGCGACGCCGCGUGGGGAUGACGGCCU